UCUCUUUCUCUAUUCUUCUUCCGCUUCUUCUCCUUUCCCUGUUCUUCUUCCUCUGCGAAUUUGAGAGUUGGUUUGAGAGAGAGAUAAUCGAUGAGUUAGAACAGAUGAAUUAGAAGAUGUUGCUGAUGGUGAUGAAGAGAUGAGAGUGGUGUUGAUUCGUGGUUAGCGAUUGAGGGAGUUAGGGUUUCUGUGAGAUGAAGUUAUGGAGAAAUUGAUUGAUUAAAAAAAGAUUCGAGUAGUUGGUGAUGAAUAACAAAGGGGUUAGUGUUUAAUUGAAGUUCUGAAGAUGAUUCAGUGAUGAAUUUGUAAGCUAGGGUUUCAUGAGAAUAACUCUGAGAAGAUUUAGAAAGUGAAGAUGAUGCUAUAAAUAGAUGAUUAGAAGUGGGUUUAGUCGAUUGAGAAACGGGUGAAGUUAAUUAGAUGUUGGAGAUGUUCUGAGGAAGAAUUGGGGUUCAUGUGUUCUUCCCCAAAUUGAGAUUAGGGUUUCUCGGUAAUCAAAGAUGGAAUUGAAUUGUUGGGGUGUUUAGUUUUAAAAUGAGUUACUGAAUCAAGUUAAAGUAAGAAGAAGAGUUUAAUUUCAAAUGCUGAAGUGGAAUCGUAUUGAGGUAAUUGUGUUGCUCUGUCAGUUUAGUAAAGUUAUAAUUCAUGUUGUUGGGUUUGUAUGAUUAUGAAUGAAACUGAGAUUGGGAUGAGUUUAGAGUGAAGUUGUGGGUGUAUCUUAAGUUGAUAUUUGAGUUAGUGAUUGUGGAAUUGAGAUAAUGAAUGUAAUCUAUGAAUAGUCAGGGCUGUUAAUGAUGUUCUGAACUGAACUGAUUAUUGGUAAUAUGGGGAGUGAUUAGAUUGUUGUGACUGAGUACAAGAGUUGAUAUGAAUUGGUCUGGUGGAGAUGUGAUAUGAAGUGCAGGUGUUGUGUUGGCGGUGAACUGCAAAUUGCAGGUAGAGAUGUAAAGUAUAAUGGGAGUAGUUCUAGUUGAAGCUUGACAUUGUUGGUGUUGUUCUAGUAAUGACAGAAUUGGAACUGAAACUAAAGUUAAUGUGGCAGUAUUAUUGAAGUUGCAGUUGCAGUUCAACUAUAUGUGGUGGUGCAGGUUCUGUCAUAUGGAUGAAAUAAUGGAAUUCUUAAAUACUGAAGAUGUGCAGAAUAAAGUGUUGAUGUUAUGGUUGUAGUUAGUGGUAGGUUUUAGUGGAAUCUUGUUGUUGCAGGAGAGAUGCUAGUGGAGAACAAGGAUGUUGGAGUUAGACUUGAGCUGAGAUGGGUAGUGAGUGUAUGGUGUAAGAAGAAUGAGAUCGUAAAGAUGUUGAAAGAAUGUUGCAGCUACUGCAUUUGCAGGUGUUUUAAAAUGCUUUUCAAUGGUAUGAAGUUUGCGGACAUCCGUGGAGUAUUUUGAGAGUUUCAGAGACAGAUCAGGGUUGCGCAGUGGAAGCUUUGUGGCGUUGAGUCUUCUGCUAUGUUUAUUAUGUUGUAUAUUCUAUUUGCAAACCAAAUGACAAUUGUAUAUGUAUCAUUUGAGAGGAAUUAUUAUUUAUAUAUUUCUGAAUGGGGCUAG